AUUGAACGCUGGCGGCAGGCCUAACACAUGCAAGUCGAGCGGAUGAAGGGAGCUUGCUCCUGGAUUCAGCGGCGGACGGGUGAGUAAUGCCUAGGAAUCUGCCUGGUAGUGGGGGAUAACGUCCGGAAACGGGCGCUAAUACCGCAUACGUCCUGAGGGAGAAAGUGGGGGAUCUUCGGACCUCACGCUAACAGAUGAGCCUAGGUCGGAUUAGCUAGUUGGUGGGGUAAAGGCCUACCAAGGCGACGAUCCGUAACUGGUCUGAGAGGAUGAUCAGUCACACUGUAACUGAGACACGGUCCAGACUCCUACGGGAGGAAGCAGUGGGGAAUAUUGGACAAUGGGCGAAAGCCGGAUCCAGCCAUGCCGCGUGUGUGAAGAAGGUCUUCGGAUUGUAAAGCACUUUAAGUUGGGAGGAAGGGCAGUAAGUUAAUACCUUGCUGUUUUGACGUUACCAACAGAAUAAGCACCGGCUAACUUCGUG
rnacentral:rRNA from 1 species